CAGGACGAACCCCUCCCUCUUCUUCAGCCUACUUGAUGUGAGGGUGAUGAAGACCUUUAUGAUGAUCCACUUCCACUUAAAAAACAGUUAAGCCUGAGUUUGGUCUUCUGUUACUUGGAACUGAAAUAAUGUGCAUUGACACACCUAUCAAGUCAAAGUAUUGUCUUUUGCUGAUCUGCUCUGGUCCUGGAAACAUCCACUGAUAGAAUCACUAGUCUGGGACAAAUUGUGGUACCCAAAGACCUCAGGAAGCACUUAGAAGCAUUACUCCUGAAGUCCCAUUCAUCCCAAAAAGAGUUGCUGGCUGGAGGAGACAAUAUGUAAACAUGUCAUAACAAGAUGGUGUGCCAGCAAGUUUGAGAUAAUCUGUUAUGGCAACGUAAGAAACUAAUGCAAGACGCAGGAGUGAAGCAGGGAGGUCUGGAAAAAAGCUAUUGCAAAAAUACAGUCUCAGCAAGGGGAUAGAAGGAUCCCUGCAUUCUCUCCUGACGUGCUCGACAAAAACAAACCCAGCUAGAGGUCGCCAGCAACAGAGGGGC
rnacentral:lncRNA from 1 species